rnacentral:tRNA from 1 species
GUUUAUAUAGCUUAUAUAGAGCAUAGCAUUGAAGCUGCUAAGGAAAAUAUUUUUUUAUGAACA